rnacentral:sRNA from 1 species
CUCAAUAAUUGUGUGUGUGUGCAUGUGUGCGUGUGUACGUGUGAGUGCCUGUGUGUGUGCGUGUGUGUGGGGGCUGGGGCUGGGGUCAACAACAGAUCAGAGCACAGGAGUAGAGAGCUUCUGGGAGGGUGGGGUCACCCAUGAGUCACGUCCUGCACCCUGGAGCCCAGAGGACCCUUCGCUCAAACCCACCACCAGCUGGCAACACUAGAGCAGCCACAGCCGCUUUCUUUGCUGCCCAGAGGAGCCUGGGAGAAGCCAGAAGUGCUUGAGGAUGGAUUCUUGGCUACUGGUGCAUUGCCACUCCCUGCGACCCUCCUCCUUGUCUUCUGUCUUCUCCUGGUGGCAUCAGGCCUUGCUUCGUGUCCCAACAGGAGCCUCUGGGGCUGGCACAGCCCUCACCGCCUACAACCUGGGCCUGGUGGUUCUCCUAGGGUGCCUCUGGGAGGUUGUGGCCACCCCGCUGCUGGCUAACUGCAGCUACUUCUGCCAGCCAGUGGACUAGAGAUGGAGCAAGCAUGGAAUGAGGGUAUGGCAGGGAGCAGGAAGCAAGCCUGGAGAGGGUUAAGAGGAACAACUUCACAACAAUCAGAGGGCAAGGAGGCAUCUUCCUGGAGACAGGUAGGCACUGUGGAAUCAGCAGUGCGUAGAACAGUGAGGAAUUAGGGCUGAACCCAGCCCAGGUGGGACAAGCCCUGGCACCAGCCGACUGCAGUCUGAUGGAACUUCCCCUUCCUGCCCAGCAGAUGGCGAGCGUGUGCUGCUGGUGCCUCUUUCCAAAGGAUGUUGAAUUGUUUGACAGGUGUUCUUUACUUUAUGAAUGAAACCAGAGCAGCCCACCUUCCUGCAUCUCUACCACCAUGGCACCAUGCCCUGUGAAGGGUGAGCUGGAGUCAAAUACGUAGCAGGCAGCCAGGGUCAGUUUGUGGCCACUGCUGCCUCCUCUUCCUAUGGUCUCCUCACUGAGUGCCCCUUCCCUGUUGGGUUCAACAUGUCUAUGCUCCUGUAAGCCCUCAGCCUCCUCGUUCUCUUCCUCAACUUCUACCACCAGACACACCUGAGAGGCAAGCAAGAGAGGCUAAACUAGGAGCAGGACCCAGGGACUGAAACCAGCACAGCAUCCCCACAGAGAAUUGGGUGGAAGGCAGCAUGGCUUCCAGCUUACUGGUGCCGAGCAGAUUCCCCUGGGUCUCCAUUGUAUCCUCUGAAGGAAGGAGGAGGAUUGCCUUCUGUCCAGAUCUCAGGAUCAAACAAAUAGGUCCAACUUCCUGUGCUCACUUCAGUUAGAGCACUUCUCAUGUGACUUUGUAGCUUUGUGUGCAUCUCCUUCCUCUACUAGACCUAAGCCCCUCACUGGAAGGACUCUCUUAUUCUUGA